CCUCGGCGGGGUCACGCCCCGGGUGCGUCGCAGCCCCGGAACCAGGCGCCCGCCGGAGGGACCAACCAAACUCUUUUCUGUAGUCCCCUCGCGGACGUUAUUUCUUACAGCUCUGAGCAAAAAUUCAAAAUGAAUCAAAACUUUCAACAACGGAUCUCUUGGUUCUGGCAUCGAUGAAGAACGCAGCGAAAUGCGAUAAGUAAUGUGAAUUGCAGAAUUCAGUGAAUCAUCGAAUCUUUGAACGCACAUUGCGCCCGCCAGUAUUCUGGCGGGCAUGCCUGUCCGAGCGUCAUUUCAACCCUCGAACCCCUCCGGGGGGUCGGCGUUGGGGACCUCGGGAGCCCCUAAGACGGGAUCCCGGCCCCGAAAUACAGUGGCGGUCUCGCCGCAGCCUCUCCUGCGCAGUAGUUUGCACAACUCGCACCGGGAGCGCGGCGCGUCCACGUCCGUAAAACACCCAACUUCUGAAAUGUUGACCUCGGAUCAGGUAGGAAUACCCGCUGAACUUAAGCAUAUCAAUAAGCGGAGGGAAAGAAACCAACCAAAAAGGC
rnacentral:rRNA from 1 species